AAGACCCUGGCAUGAGGCUGAGGACAACUUACAAGGGCUUCACCGAAGCAGUGGACCUUUAUUUUGACCACCUGAUGUCCAGGGUGGUGCCACUCCAGUACAAGCGUGGGGGACCUAUCAUCGCUGUGCAGGUGGAGAAUGAAUAUGGUUCCUAUAAUAAAGACCCCGCAUACAUGCCCUACGUCAAGAAGGCACUGGAGGACCGUGGCAUUGUGGAACUGCUCCUGACUUCAGACAACAAGGAUGGGCUGAGCAAGGGGAUCGUCCAGGGAGUGUUGGCCACCAUCAACCUUCAGUCAACACAUGAGCUGCAGCUACUGACCACCUUUCUCUUCAACAUCCAGGUAAGUCCAGCCCCAGGGAAGCUGCGGCCCACCCUGCUCAGUGGCCUAUGGGAAUUCCGAAUGCCUGUCAGCGUGCUCAGCUUCCCCAGCGCAGGGAGCUGGACUCAGGGCUGUUGGCCUCUCAGCCCCCAGCCCAUGCCACUGUGUGCCUGCAAGGCCCACUGCCCAGAAACAGCUCUGAGGGCUGCUGUAUAGGCAGUGGACGUCACCCACUGCCCUGAGAGAGGGGCCCUUUUGGUGCACUCCUAAAGGACUCGACUUUUGUGGCCUCAACUAGCUCCAGACUUGCUCCCAGGGAUUGAGGGGGGAAGAAAAAACUUCCCUGUCCUAUACUACACAGGCAUCUGACCUUAACCUGUGAGGCCCCUGCAAUCCUAGAAAGAUUAUUGUCAUCAGCAAGGCAGGAAGCCUGGUCCACUCCAGGUGCAGAGAGAGGGAGGAGUUUCCAGAUGUCCCUCAAUAUCUGUCAAACUGAUGGGCAUUUACGCUGCACUGCAGUUCUGACUGACCUCUUUCUCGAGCUCGCGCCCCUCCGAAGCAGAUGGAUGGACAGGGCCAUGCUGCAGCCUUCUGCAGACCUGAGAGGCCCCAGCUGUCCCCUGGCUCACUGAGGGGCGUGGAUACUCCAGACUGCCCCCUUGCUGCAUCGUCACACUGGUCCUGGGCCUGGAGU
rnacentral:sRNA from 1 species